AAGAAAAAUAUAGAACAACAAUGAAACAAUCUAUGGCAUAUACAUUCUUCUGGUGGCGCCUCUUACAACUCCAAAAGUCGUAAGGGAACUCAGUCGUGUGUAUAUACCUGCAUAGAAAAGAUAUAACCGUGAAAGGCUGUC
rfam:Bacteroides sp. CAG:714 genomic scaffold, scf64